AGUGGCUUAGAUGACUCACAAACCAGGCAAGCAGGGGCAAACUGAGCUGCCUUGAAGAAGCUCAGAUCAACUGAGGAACCUAGAAAGGACAAGUUCCAAACUGUUAAGCUGCCUGUAGGCUGUGCAGUGUGUUUCAAGUUCUCAGCGAGCUUCGGUGAUACAGCUGACUUUGAGUCAUCUUUCUUUCUGCUCCUGUACGUGACCCUUCACCCACAUUUAUACCCAGCUGAGAGUCUGUCAAGGGGAGACCCAAAGCCAGAGAAGCUUCUCUUUUUCUUGGUCUCAAAUACGUCAUUCUCUAAGGACACCAGAUCAUCAAGACGCAGGAGCUUAGCCGAAAGCUCAGUGGCUGACUUCUCUUCUCUGGCUGUGGGUGGAGACUGCAAGCUUGCUGUUCCAAACUCCUACAGGGAAGAUAAAGCUCAUCACUGAUUCCAUUAAGUUUGUUGCCUGGACGUUUGAUGUGAUCAUCUUAAAAUACAGCAUAGUAAAGGAAGAGGAAUUGCCCAUUGAAGUGAUGGAAGACCACAGGCUUAAUCUUCUUAUAAAAUGAUUUCUUAGAACACUUUCUAGGACAAACAGAAAAAGACUUUGGAAUUUGAAGAAUUGGUUUUGAGUCUCAUUUUGCUUUAGUGUUGCUAUCAUCUUGGACAUGGUUUAUUUAACUCACCUGAGCUUUAAUUUUCUAAUUUAUGAAGUGAGAAAUAAUUUUUAUUUCAAAAAAUUCAAUAGGAUGGAAUUGAUUGACCUAUAAGGCCUUUCUCUUAUAUGUUCUCUAUUAUUUGCACAUGAAGCAACAUCUAUAUGCCAUUAUGCAACAUUGCUUUAGUAACUAUGUAUGUGUUACUAUGUCCCCUGACUUUAUACUUCCUUAUUAUUGCUGUGAAAUCUGACAGUAGAUCUUAGUAAUUUGUCAUAUGCACUGACAUGAAUAAUUAUUUUAUAGACAGAAUAACAUCUUCAUAAUGUCUUGCUUAAGAUUUAAAACAAAGAAAAAGAUCUUCGCCAUGUCUACAAUGUUUGUUUUAUCAAAUCCAAUAAUAUUAGCUUAAACUACUUGUUUGUUAUGACAUUAAUUAUUCUCCUUUGGAAACUUGAGGCUAAUGCCAGUCAUUAACAUCUUGUCUGUAUCCUACCAUUUCAGGAAAGGGAAAGCAAAGUGUGUGUUUUCUGUUUGGCAAGAUGGUAUUUAGUUGAUAUAUUCAUAGAGUGUAGGAAAAUGAUAAAUGAAAUUAUAUCUCCAAAUAUAGAAAACAAAAACCUUCAGAGAGCAUAGCAUUAAUCGUUUGAUUAAAAUACCAUUUAAUUAAAAUAUCAACAAAAAGCAUUAGCUUUUCCUCCAGGAAACUUGUCACUUCUUUGUUUAUACUUUUCUCCAGAUUUUGCUUGUUUCUUUUAUUUUCAUGUGUACAAAGAAAGAUACCUAAAAAGUAUAGCUGCAUUUUAAAAAUGAUCCCAGAUUUCUUAUAUCCCUACAUUGAGAAGUAACACUCCCAUUUAAUCAAAGGGAAAUUCCAAUCCUCCUGUUUACCUUCUUUAGUUUUUAUUUCUCUAAAAAUAGUUUUUAAAGUGCCAAAGUGAUCUGUUUUACAAGUCUUCCCAUGUGGAUUUUCUUUACCUAUUUUUAUGAACAUCUUACCAACCAACGUUUCUUUCAAGCCCACAGGCUUUUAAAUGGAACAGAAUAAUUGUGUUUUCAAUACUGAUGAUUACGUCUAACAGGAGUAUUUCAGACCUUGGGCGUAUAUACAAAAACAGUUUUAAUAUAUCCUCUAACAGAUAGCCACAUCCUGAUCAUUUUGGAUAGGAAGGUGUAAAAAUAAACGCCGAGUUUAAAUACAUGUAUUUAAUGUUUUAAAGCCAUGCUUGUAUCCAGUAAACCAACAGACUGAGCUCCUAAAUAUGGCUUUGCACACUAACAUAAAUAAGCACUCUGGCACCUGCUGAACAAGCGACAUUUGAUUAACUCAUUCAAACUUGAUUGCUACGAAAUUAGAAACAGAGGAAAUUAUAGGGAGGGAAGAAAAUGACCAGGUUUAGCCACAUUUUUCUAUUUUGUUGAUAGUGAAUAAAUAUAGCCCAUGAUUUAAAGGUUUCUUAGGACCAAUGUGCUCUCCAAAUCACAGAAGAAACUCUCAAUGAAUAUUUUUUGUACAAAUUCACCAAAGGAGAAGUAAAGUACAAAUU